rnacentral:rRNA from 1 species
AGAGUUUGAUCCUGGCUCAGGACGAACGCUGGCGGCAUGCCUAACACAUGCAAGUCGAACGGAACAAAGGACGCUGUAGCGAUACAAUGGAAUUUGUUUAGUGGCGAACGGGUGAGUAACACGUGAGCAACCUGCCUUUCACACAGGGAUAACAGCCGGAAACGGCUGCUAAUACCGGAUAAGACCACACUGAGGCAUCUCAGAGGGGUCAAAGCGUUUAGCGGUGAAAGAUGGGCUCGCGUCCCAUUAGCUAGUUGGUGAGAUAACAGCCCACCAAGGCGACGAUGGGUAGCCGACUUGAGAGAGUGAUCGGCCACAUUGGAACUGAGACACGGUCCAGACUCCUUCGGGAGGCAGCAGUGGGGAAUAUUGGGCAAUGGAGGAAACUCUUACCCAGCAAUGCCGCGUGAAUGAAGAAGGCCUUCGGGUUGUAAAGUUCUUUUAUUGAUGAUAAAGAAAGUGAUAUUAGUCAAUGAAUAAGCCCCGGCUAACUAUGUGCCAGCAGCCGCGGUAAUACAUAGGGGGCAAGCGUUGUCCGGAAUGACUGGGCGUAAAGGGUGUGUAGGCGGUUAUACAAGUUAAAAGUGAAAUCCCCGGGCUUAACUCGGGUGCUGCUUUUAAGACUGUAUGGCUUGAGUGCAGUAGAGAAAAGUGGAAUUCCUAGUGUAGCGGUGGAAUGCGUAGAUAUUAGGAGGAACACCAGAGGCGAAGGCGACUUUUUGGACUGUAACUGACGCUGAGGCACGAAAGUGUGGGGAGCAAACAGGAUUAGAUACCCUGGUAGUCCACACUGUAAACGAUGGAUACUAGGUGUAGGGGGUAUAGACUCCCUCUGCGCUGUCGCAAACGCAAUAAGUAUCCCGCCUGGGGAGUACGACCGCAAGGUUGAAACUCAAAGGAAUUGACGGGGACCCGCACAAGCAGCGGAGCAUGUGGUUUAAUUCGAA